GAGCGCGGACCUGUUUCUCCCCAUAGAGAGAGAGAGGAGCGCGGACCUGUUCUCCCCAUAGAGAGAGAGGAGCGCGGACCUGUUCUCCCCAUAGAGAGAGAGAGAGAGGAGCAAGGACCUGUUUCUCCCCAUAAAUAGAGAGAGAGGAGCGCGGACCUGUCUCCCCAUAGAGAGAGAGAGGGACCUGUUCUCCCCAUAGAGAGAGAGAGAGGACCUGUUCUCCCCAUAGAGAGAGGAGCAAGGACCUGUUCUCCACAUAGAGACAGAGAGAGAGGAGCAAGGACCUUUGUUCUCCCCAUAAGAGAGAGGAGCAUGGCCUGUUCUCCCCAUAGAGAGAGAGAGAGAGGAGCAAGGACCUGUUCUCCCCAUAGAGAGAGAGGAGCAAGGACCUGUUCUCCCCAUAGAGAGA
rnacentral:lncRNA from 1 species